UUAACUUCCUUGUUGCUAUGGAGACUCACUGGCUCAGAUCCGGCCCCAUCUCAACUCUCUACUCCAAGCCCAGUUUCAGUUGAUUUAGCCUUUGCCCCAGUCCCAGACUAAGUCUCAUGUGAGUGCCAGUGCGGGGCCUGUACCCAGCCACGUCUCUCAGACAGGAGUAAUGAAGAACCAGGCUCAAGUCUACUCUUAGGCUCAAAGGUCAACAGAUUCUUCAAUAGUAGGUUAGGAGAUACUCUGCUCAUUGCAAAUGUUGAGCAUCAUUUCCUGCCUUGAACCCCUGAAUGUCAGCAACACCUCUCAUCCAAGGGACUUUUCUCAACAGUGGGUGCAUUAAACAGUCCUGAAUCUAGGGGAACUAAAUGUCAGAGUCUAGAGGAGUUGAGAGGUGCAGAGGACAGUGGUGUGACAGAGGUGAGCUCCAGACUACAGGACACUCCCCUUAGAAGGCUGAAGACUUGACCCCAAGCUCCAAGGAAAUCACCAUGAGUGACCUUUGCUUACUUCGAGGCCUUAUCCUGGUACCUGAUGUAGUUCAGUAGCCUCUGAAUUGAGUUUGCCUUUGUUUGAAGUCAUAUUUUCACAUUUCAUCCGAUGCUAUUUAUCUUCCACCAAAAAGUCACACCUAAACUUUCCAGAUGCCCAGUCGCAGACUUCCCAGGGUGAUCACACUCGUGUGCACAGUCUAUCAUUGUGCAAGCUCACACUCGAGAAUGGAUGUCAAAAGACGCUUUCAUGAACCUAAAAAACAAUGAAGUUAAGUUGAACUUGUUGCUUAAUUGAGCCAUAUUCCAGAACCAUUUUUUGUAAGUUAUCAUGCAAACAUUAUUGAUGGAAAUAAACAAUAUAAUAAUGUGUGAAUCCACUUUUUAGAUGUCUAAAUUGUUUGCAAUGUCAUUUACAAAGGAGAAAGGUUCCUACGAAUCUUGACCAAACUAGGAAACCCUGCCGCACCCUGCACUCUGAAGGCAAGUUACGUGCUUUUGCUGCCCUCUUGUGGUCUUUAUUUCUCACUGCAAUGUCCCCGACAGCAAAAGUAUUUCAAGUCCUCAGCAGGCUAUUUGAUAAUGGGAAUUUAGAAUAACAGUCUAAAUAAUUUAGAAUAAUUAAGAAAAUAUCCUAACAUAUUUUUCAACAAUAAGCUUAUGAUUUGUGUUACGGAGCCCCAUGUAGUUAAUUUAAAUAUUUCCUCAUGUGCGUUGCCAAGAAGAUUGCCCAGAGAAACGUGGAGACAUUUUUACACCAGAAAAUAGACCAAAUUUGCAAGAAUUGUAAUUCGGCUAGUAACUGGGCAUGAGGAGGCUUUGCUGGUGAAUUAACAUCAUCUUCUAAAUUAAGUACUUCAUAAAAGAAAUUCUGGAGUAAGCGUUCAUCCUUUGUAAUGAAGUUCCUCUUGUGCCUCUUCUGCC
rnacentral:sRNA from 1 species